AUUGAACGCUGGCGGCAGGCCUAACACAUGCAAGUCGAGCGGAGAGGCGGACGGGCGAGUAAUUCCUAGGAAUGUGCCUGGUUGUGGGGGCUAACGUCCGGAACCGGGCGCUAAUACCGCAUACUUGCAUAUGGGCCUGGGUUGGGUUAGCUAGUUGGUGGGGUAAAGGCGUACUAAGGCAACGAUCCGUAACUGGUCUGAGAGGAUGAUCAGUAACACUGGAACGGAGACACGGUCCAGACUCCUACGGGAGGGAGCGGUGGGGAAUAUUGGACAAGGGGCUAAAGCCUGAUCCAGCCAUGCCACGUGUGUGAAGAAGGUCUUCGGAUUUUAAAGCACUUUAAGUUGUGAGGCGGUACCAAAAGAAUAAGCACCGGCUAACUUCGUGCCAGCAGCCGCGGUAAUAC
rnacentral:rRNA from 1 species